AGUGAACGCUGGCGGUAGGCCUAACACAUGCAAGUCGAACGGCAGCACAGUAAGAGCUUGCUCUUACGGGUGGCGAGUGGCGGACGGGUGAGGAAUACAUCGGAAUCUACUUUUUCGUGGGGGAUAACGUAGGGAAACUUACGCUAAUACCGCAUACGACCUACGGGUGAAAGCAGGGGAUCUUCGGACCUUGCGCGAUUGAAUGAGCCGAUGUCGGAUUAGCUAGUUGGCGGGGUAAAGGCCCACCAAGGCGACGAUCCGUAGCUGGUCUGAGAGGAUGAUCAGCCACACUGGAACUGAGACACGGUCCAGACUCCUACGGGAGGCAGCAGUGGGGAAUAUUGGACAAUGGGCGCAAGCCUGAUCCAGCCAUACCGCGUGGGUGAAGAAGGCCUUCGGGUUGUAAAGCCCUUUUGUUGGGGAAGAAAAGCAGCAGGUUAAUACCCCGCUGUUCUGACGGUACCCAAAGAAUAAGCACCGGCUAACUGCGU
rnacentral:rRNA from 1 species